AUUGAACGCUGGCGGCAGGCCUAACACAUGCAAGUCGAGCGGAUGAAGGGAGCUUGCUCCUGGAUUCAGCGGCGGACGGGUGGGUAAUGCCCAGGAAUCUGCCUGGUAGUGGGGGAUAACGUCCGGAAACGGGCGCUAAUACCGCACACGUCCUGAGGUAGAACGUGGGGGAUCUUCGGACCUCACGCUAUCAGAUGAGCCUAGGUCGGAUUAGCUAGUUGGUGGGGUAAAGGCCUACCAAGGCGACGAUCCGUAACUGGUCUGAGAGGAUGAUCAGUCACACUGGAACUGAGACACGGUCCAGACUCCUACGGGAGGCAGCAGUGGGGAAUAUUGGACAAUGGGCGAAAGCCUGAUCCAGCCAUGCCGCGUGUGUGAUGAAGGUCUUCGGAUUGUAAAGCACUUUAAGUUGGGAGGAAGGGCAGUAAGUUAAUACAUUGCUGUUUUGACGUUACCAACAGAGUAAGCACCGGCUAACUUCGUG
rnacentral:rRNA from 1 species